CUUACAGCAAAAUUUUUGCUAUUUAUAGAUUUCUUGGGGAAGAAAACACAUUCACAAAUCCUGGUGUUAGGAAUAUUUUAAGCGUAUAUCUUCAAUAUUAUUCAUCCGGGACCAAAGCAGUCCUGAUGCACAAAAUGAGUGAGUUUCACAGCUUUCUGAGCCCGUACUCGACCCAGGAAGCCCAGCUGGCACCUCCUCUCACUUCUAUGUCAGAUUGGCCAAUUUGAUAACUCUGGAAUAUUGCCUGUUUUAAAAGGAAUUAAAAAUAUUUUCAUCC